rnacentral:rRNA from 1 species
AGUGAACGCUGGCGGCAUGCCUAAUACAUGCAAGUCGAAGGAAGUGGCGCACGGGUGAGUAAUAUAUAGCUAAUCUGCCCCUUGCUGGAGGAAAACAGUUAGAAAUGACUGCUAAUACUCCAUAGCAAGGGAUGAGACUAUAUCGUAUCAGCUAGUCGGUGGGGUAACGGCCUACCGAGGCUAUGACGCGUAACUGGUCUGAGAGGAUGAUCAGUCACAUUGGAACUGAGACACGGUCCAAACUCCUAGUGGAGGGAGCAGUAGCGAAUAGCGCGCAAUGGGGGAAACCCUGACGGAGCAACGCCGCGUGGAGUAUUACACGUUUCGGAGCGUAAACUCCUUUUGUUAGGGAAGCGUUACCGAACGAAUAAGCACCGGCUAACUCCGUGCCAGCAGCCGCGGUAAUUC